GUGAGGAAUAUUGGUCAAUGGGCGGGAGCCUGAACCAGCCAAGUCGCGUGAAGGAAGAAGGAUCUAUGGUUCGUAAACUUCUUUUGCAGGGGAAUAAAGUGCAGGACGUGUCCUGUUUUGUAUGUACCCUGAGAAUAAGGAUCGGCUAACUCCGUGCCAGCAGCCGCGGUAAUACGGAGGAUCCAAGCGUUAUCCGGAAUCAUUGGGUUUAAAGGGUCCGUAGGCGGUUUAAUAAGUCAGCGGUGAAAGUUUGCAGCUUAACUGUAAAAAUGCCGUUGAAACUGUCGGACUUGAGUGUAAAUGAGGUAGGCGGAAUGCGUGGUGUAGCGGUGAAAUGCAUAGAUAUCACGCAGAACUCCGAUUGCGAAGGCAGCUUACUAAGCUACAACUGACACUGAAGCACGAAAGCGUGGGGAUCAAACAGGAUUAGAAACCCCUGUAGUCC
rnacentral:rRNA from 1 species